rnacentral:rRNA from 1 species
CUCUAUUAAGGGUGAUGCCUGCCCAAUGAUUCAUCCUAAAUUUGACACCCCAAAUGAACCUGAAUUCAAUGGCCGCGGUAUUUCUGACCGUGAUAAUGUAGCGAAAUCAAUCGUCACUUAAUUGCUGACCUGUAUCAAAGGUAAUACGAAUGUCCCCCUGUCUCUGGAAAAAUACCCGUGAAAUUGAAGAAACCGUGCAUAUGCGGUUCAUUAGCUGUAAGACGAAAAGACCCUAUUGAGCUUUACUAUACGCUUUCCUACACAUUCUUAUCGUUUAAACAACUUUUAACCGAUGGAAACAUGAAAAGUGAGGUAGUUUCGUUGGGGCGACGACCUCUUAAAAAGUAACAGAGGUUAACAAAGGUUAUUUUUUAAUGAAAACCGCUUGACUGUUUGACCAAUACGUCUAACAGACACAAUCGUGGGUCAUAAUUUUCCACUGAAAAGGAAACUUCUCAGUGCCAAAACAUAAAAGUUACCAUAGGGAUAACAGCGUAAUUUUGUCGAAGAGUUCUUAUCGAUGACAAAGAUUGCGACCUCGAUGUUGAAUUGCGGUAUCCUGGGGGUGCAGCCGCUCCC